rnacentral:sRNA from 1 species
GCCAUUUUCUGACAUUUGAAAAGAUCUGAAGAUACGCCCCUUGGAUGCCUGCAGAGAAGCUCUGGGGCUUCAGUCAAUGACUCAGGGUAGCCUCCGAACAUGAUGCUCGCAGUGGGUGCCACCUGGACUCCACUCUCCCCUCUCUCUGGGAUCAUAGAGUCCAAGGUGUUCUGUGGCCUCUCGGCCAAUCCCAGCAGCUCAGCGUGCAGAAGACUGAGGAGCCAUUGGAAAAGAAAAAGAGAACAUAUAUCCCCCUACCUUUUGAUUUCCAACAGUCUACUGAGAGGCCAAAAUUAUUUGCAGGGAAAGAAAAGGGGUCAAAUUGUUUUGCCAGUAACUCCCAAAUCAUCUACAGCCAAGGAGAGAAGUGUUUCAAGACGGAGGUGCUCAAUGGUAUCAAAUACUGCCAACAGACCAAGUAAUACAUGCACUGAAGUGUCUACUGGAUCUAGCUAUAUGAAAUUUUAAUUUAGGACACUUAGGCCAUACUGAAGCAAGGUGACAAAAUGAAUAGCUACAAUGUCUCAUGAAUCUUGGGUUUCCAUUCACCCUGGUAUUCAAGAGAAAUUCUUGCAUCAUGGAAGUUGCAGUUGGAUAGGACUUUCUCAGCUGAACACUGUCAUCUGCCAGAGCUUCAG